GAUGAACGCUGGCGGCGUGCCUAAUACAUGCAAGUCGAGCGGUAAGGCUCCUUCGGGAGUACACGAGCGGCGGACGGGUGAGUAAUACGUAGGAACGUACCCCAAAGUGAGGAAUAACCAGCCGAAAGGUUGGCUAAUACCGCAUAUGCUCUACGGAGUAAAGCAGCAAUGCGCUUUGAGAACGGCCUGCGUCCGAUUAGCUAGUUGGUAAGGGAAAGGCUUACCAAGGCGACGAUCGGUAGCUGUUCUGAGAGGAGGAUCAGCCACACUGGAACUGCGACACGGUCCAGACUCCUACGGGAGGCAGCAGUAGGGAAUUUUCCACAAUGGGCGAAAGCCUGAUGGAGCAACGCCGCGUGCAGGAUGAAGGCCUUAGGGUUGUAAACUGCUUUUAUCUGUGACGAUUAUGACAGUAGCAGAUGAAUAAGGAUCGGCUAACUCCGUGCCAGCCGCCGCAGUAA
rnacentral:rRNA from 1 species